rnacentral:lncRNA from 1 species
AUGAAGCCAAAUUCCAAACAGCUUCUGGGAGUAAAGGCUGCUAAGGUUGUCUCUGCUGGAAGAGCUGUGGAGAGUGUGAUCAGGAGCCAGCCCCCCUCCACUGGGGAGAAGCUCUUGAUAGCUACUGGGGUAUCUUUGCCAUCGUUUCUGCUGCUCCUGCCACCGUCUCUCCUCCGUAGUGGCCUCUGUGCCAGGGACUGUGUUUCAGUUACCUGUAGCCGACUGCGGUAUAGAAGCAGGUGAUCCUCCUGAUGGAUUAUCAGAAAGUCAAAAGUCAUCUACCACUAGGUCGAAAGGCCUGUGUUAUUCACCUCACGUCAUCUCAUCAUACGGCAUUUAAUCAUCUCACAUCAUCACAAGAGAGGUGAGCGAAAGAAAUAAGAUAUUUUGAGAGAGAGACUAUAUUCAUGUAACUUUUAUUACAGUGUAUUGUUACAGUUAUUCUAUUAUAUUAUUGUUGUUCAUCUCUUACUGUGCCCAACUUAUUUUUUAUUUUUUAAAGAUUUAUUUAUUUGAGAGAGAGAGAGAGAGCAUGAGCAUGGGGGGAGGGACAGAGGGAGAGGAGAAUCUCAAGUAGAUUCCCUGCUGAGUCCAAUGCAGGGCUCAAUCUCAUGACCUUGAGAUCAUGACCUGAAAUGGGUUGAAAUCUAGUUGAAAUCUAGAGUGGGAUGCUUAACCGACUGAGUGACCCAGGGCCCCUACUGUGCCUAAUUUAUAAAUUAAACUUUGUCAUGGCUCAGUAUGUACAGAAUAAAUAUAGCACAGAGCUUGGUACUGUGAUUUCAGGCAUCUGCUGGGGGUCUUGGAAUGUAUCCCUCACCAAUAAAGGGGCUACUGUAGCAUUAUUGAAUUAGAUGAGAUACAAAGGUUGCCUCAAAAAGAAAACCACCACUAGAAAUGCCAUUUCUUCCUACUUGUCCCAUCUUAUACUUCCUGUGCAUGAGAAUCUGGGGAAUUUAGAAAAUAUACGAUGCCUCAGAUCCACCCUAUCUCCUGGUGGGAAUCAGUGCUCUUUAAAAGCUCCUCAGGUGGCUGUUGCAGCCUGAGUUAAGACCCGCUGCCCUCAGGCAUUGCUGAUCAAGGGUGUGCUGCUCCAUGUCUCUGCUGCCUCUAUUCCCAUCCCCAUUGGAUCUGACUCCUAAAGUCAGUUUGCCUUGUGUGUUUUAAUCUGACAAACGGCAGGUGAUUAAUCAAGGUUUGUGUGCUAGAUCCCUCCCUGAGCCCUGGGUAUUUAUUUUCAUUGGCACCUUGACAGGAGUAGGGCCAUAUUCUCUUCCGGCACUAAGGGGAGGGAACGGGUGGAUAAAGAUUUACUGAAAUGUUGUGGCAGAGAUGAUAGGCUGCAGACAAGACAUUCUCUGGGACAUUAGCUGAGAAUCAGAGGGGCCCAGUAGGACUGGUGAAGCAGCUGGGCAGAUUUCCUGUCUUCAUUCAGCAGUGCUGGAGCAGGAAACCUAGCAGCCAGGCUAGGACAAACUUCAAGAAUUUAGAACUCAGGGGGUUGGGUCAGGAUGUGCCUGACUGUGUGGUGUGGCCCAGGAAGGGAGGCAGGUGUUUUUGACUGACGGUGGCUUUCUGAGUUAGUCCUUCUUUCUCCCAGUUACAUCUUGCAGGAGACCUUCAAACUGUAUACUCUUAGGCUCCUGGGUGGCUUAGAGGUUAAGUGUCUGCCUUUCGCUCAGGUUGUGAUCCUGGGAUCCUGGGAUGGAAUCCCUUGUCAGGCUCCCCACAGGGAGCCUGCUUCUCCCUCUGCCUCUCUGCCUC